CUACGUGCCAGCAGCCGCGGUAAUACGGAAGGUCCAGGCGUUAUCCGGAUUUAUUGGGUUUAAAGGGAGUGUAGGCGGUUUGUUAAGCGUGUUGUGAAAUUUAGAUGCUCAACAUUUAACCUGCAGCGCGAACUGGCGAACUUGAGUGCACACAACGUAUGCGGAAUUCAUGGUGUAGCGGUGAAAUGCUUAGAUAUCAUGAAGAACUCCGAUUGCGAAGGCAGCGUACGGGAGUGUAACUGACGCUUAAGCUCGAAGGUGCGGGUAUCGAACAGGAUUAGAUACCCUGGUAGUCCGCACAGUAAACGAUGGAUGCCCGCUGUUAGCGCCUAGCGUUAGCGGCUAAGCGAAAGCAUUAAGCAUCCCACCUGGGGAGUACGCCGGCAACGGUGAAACUCAAAGGAAUUGACGGGGGCCCGCACAAGCGGAGGAACAUGUGGUUUAAUUCGAUGCAACGCGAAGAACCUUACCAAGGCU
rnacentral:rRNA from 1 species